rnacentral:rRNA from 1 species
AGCGAACGCUGGCGGCAGGCCUAACACAUGCAAGUCGAACGAACCUUUCGGGGUUAGUGGCGGACGGGUGAGUAACACGUGGGAACGUGCCUUUAGGUUCGGCAUAACUCAGGGAAACUUGUGCUAAUACCGAAUGUGCCCUUCGGGGGAAAGAUUAAUCGCCUUUAGAGCGGCCCGCGUCUGAUUAGCUAGUUGGUUGAGGUAAUGGCUCACCAAGGCGACGUUCAGUAGCUGGUCUGAGAGGAUGAUCAGCGACAUUGGGACUGAGACGCGGCCCAAACUCCUACGCGAGGCGGCAGUGGGGAAUCGAGCGAAACGGGCGAAAGCCUGACGCAGCCAGGCCGGGAGAAUGAUGAAGGUCUUAGGAUUGUAAAAUGCUUUUAACGGUGACGAUAAUGACGGUACCCGGAGAAGAAGCCCCGGCUAACUUCGUG